rnacentral:rRNA from 1 species
AUACGGAGGGGGUUAGCGUUGUUCGGAAUUACUGGGCGUAAAGCGCACGUAGGCGGAUUGGAAAGUUGGGGGUGAAAUCCCAGGGCUCAACCCUGGAACUGCCUCCAAAACUAACAGUCUAGAGUUCGAGAGAGGUGAGUGGAAUUCCAAGUGUAGAGGUGAAAUUCGUAGAUAUUUGGAGGAACACCAGUGGCGAAGGCGGCUCACUGGCUCGAUACUGACGCUGAGGUGCGAAAGCGUGGGGAGCAAACAGAAUUAGAUACCCUAGUAGUCC